UACGUAGGGUGCAGGCGUUAAUCGGAAUUACUGGGCGUAAAGCGUGCGCAGGCGGUUUGCUAAGAGAGAUGUGAAAUCCCCGGGCUUAACCUGGGAACUGCGUUUCUAACUGGCAGGCUUGAGUGUGGCAGAGGGGGGUGGAAUUCCACGUGUAGCAGUGAAAUGCGUAGAGAAUGUGGAGGAACACCGAUGGCGAAGGACAGCCCCCUGG
rnacentral:rRNA from 1 species